UUUUAAAUAGCAUUGUUUCUCUGUUCUAAAGUGACCAAUACAUAAUUAAGUACAGUUUUAGAAACUAAAAUCACACUGGAGCAAAUUAUAUUUUGUCCACCUGGCGGACUUCAAAGGAACCGCCUCCGGGCUCCUAUAUCUGUCCUUGUUAAUAAACCCGCCUCAUGUGGUAUAAAUUUCCUAAACGAUCUCAAAUAUUUCCCAAGUAACGAGACAAACAAACACACACACCAACACAGACACACACAUGUGAAUGGCACAAUACACAACCAUCUGGUGGCGUAGGUAUCCCUAGUAUUCAGUUUAAGUUUAUACUUCAACCCUGGCGUUCAUAUCUCUAUUCAUAGUGUAUACAAAUCUCGAGUCACGAGAAAUCUGCGUGAAAUGCCGCGCUAGUUUAGUUUUUUAUUAACUAGUGCGCCCAACUAGUGAAUGCUGAAAAGGUGAAUAGUUUACAAGGCAAGUGAAUUAAAAAGAGAACGGUAAGAUGACCCAUAGACCUGAAGCUGCCUACCCUGGUGUUAUUCCAUACCAAGUUGACCAGCACAAUGAUGAUCAAGAUCAGGUACCACGCCUACUUGGUCUUGAGCAACGCCCACUGAGUGCUGGACCGCCUAGCUCAAGUACAGUUCUAGGAUACAGAACUGCAGAAACGUAUACAGAGGAGGAGUUGAGGGAAAAAUAUUAUUCCUACUGGCAAAAACAGAAG